GAUGAAGAACGCAGCGAAAUGCGAUAAGUAAUGUGAAUUGCAGAAUUCAGUGAAUCAUCGAAUCUUUGAACGCACAUUGCGCCCGCCAGUAUUCUGGCGGGCAUGCCUGUUCGAGCGUCAUUUCAACCAUCAAGCCCCAGGCUUGUGUUGGGGACCUGCGGCUGCCGCAGGCCCUGAAAACCAGUGGCAGGCUCGCUGUCACACCGGGCGUAGUAGAUUUUAUCUCGCUCAGGGCGUGCUGCGGGUCCCGGCCGUUAAAAGCCUUUUUUUACCCAAGGUUGACCUCGGAUCAGGUAGGAAGACCCGCUGAACUUAAGCAUAUCAAUAAGCGGAGGA
rnacentral:misc_RNA from 1 species